GUCGUCACGCCGUCGCUUCCCGGUCCCCUCAGCCGGCCCGUUGCCAUGGUUUCCGGGCCUAGGACAAAGAUUAGAAAACACUCCAGAGGCAACAAACUGCGAACUUUCCGCAGAAUUUCAGAGCAGGGCUGCCAAGUAAAUAUAGUGUGUCUAGGUGACAAAUGCAGAGCGUGAGAGUGAUUGCCUAAUAAUGGACGAAUCAAGCUAAAGGCAGAGCCGCCGCGAACUGUGUGUGUGAAGAAGAAGCGUCCCUCUAUGAAACAUCGCCUGGCCAUGGAUGGCCCCCACUGAUGCAGCCUGACCUGCUGCUGAGUCAGUCCAACGCUCUAGAUUUUCACUCAAAUUAAGCCUCCCUUCACCACCUCCAGUUUAAAUCCCAUUUGGAAUAUUUUGGAGGACCAAGAAACCAAGAAGAACCAAGUGAAGUUGGAAAAGAAGAUGAAUGGCCAGCCAUUGGAGGGGGUCCGUGAGUUGUAACAAUGCAGUUCCACCUUCAAGAGAGGAAGGAAGAAGAGAUUUACACUGAUGAAAAUACUCACAAUUCAGUCUCAUGUUCUGGCAUACAGAAAACCACAUUGAAAAGAUGUGUUGAUGUAGAGGGUAGGGGCUUGGCCUGGUCCAGCCUCCAAAUAACACCAGAAGAUCCUUGUACACCACCAACGUGGCUCCAGCCUUUGGAGAGGGAUACGAACCUAUGAACAUUGAGGUUCAAACAAAUGCCUCAAAACUCAUUGGCCAGCAGUUCAUUCUACAGUAAGACAAUGAUCCCAAACAUACUGCUGAAGCAACAAAGGAGUUUUUCAAAGCAAAAAAAUGGUAAUUUCUUGAGUGGCCAAGUCAAUCACCUAUCUGAACCCAAUUGAGCAUGCCUUUUAUAUGCUGAAGAGAAAACUGAAGAGGACUAGCCCCCAAAACAAGCAUAAGCUAAGAUGGCUGCAAUACAGGCCUGGCAGAGCAUCACCAGAGAAGACACCCAGCAACCGAUGAUGUCCAUGAAUCGCAGACUUCAAGCAGUCAUUCCAUGCAAAGGAUAUGCAACAAAAUACUAAACAUGACUCCUUUCAUUUACAUGACAUUGCUGUGUCCCAAACAUUAUGGUGUCCUGAAAUGGGGGGGGACUGUGUAUAAACACUGCUGUCAUUUCUACAUGGUGAAACCAAAAUGUAUAAAAAUGGUCUUUAUUAAAAUCUGACAAUGUGCACUUUAACCACAUGUGAUUGUUUUCUAUUACAAAUCUCAAAUUGUGGAGUACAGAGGCAAAUAAAUAAAUGAUGGGUCUUUGUCCCAAACAUUAUGGAGGGCACUGUAUAUGUCCAUUAGACCUUUGAAUUUAAUAUUAUGGGAGCUUGUUCGUAUGUACGGGUGCCGAUGUGUUCGGGGAUAUAACCGGGAACAGCCUAUACUCGGAAAAAUGCUUCAGAAAAGAUUGUGCAAUGCUGAACUUUUAUUUGGAGAUUAUAAUUCCUUGAUCAAAGUUUGUACUAAGCUUGAGAUUUAUUUAUAUUCAUAUCACGCCAAAGCUCCAUCAAUAUUAACGUCAUCUAAAGAUUGCAGCAGUAAACAAUGUGUGAAAAAGUAUAUUGGAAUUAUUAAUUGAACUAUAAAAUCAAACUAAGAUCAUCGCAUUGGAUGUGAUCUUCUAAUAAUGUCCGAAUACAUCCCAUUGAUAAGUAUCAUUAAAACAUUGAAGCUCUUCAAUUGAAAAAAUGCUGAAUGGAACCGAUGCUGACUAGCUAGCCACUAAUUAAUGUGCAGCCGCAGGAAUUUACUGUGGGUUUUUCCUCUUCAUGAUGUACUAUUGAAAUAAAUGAUGAUAUAAUGACAUAUAGCUAGCUGGUCAAGUGAGGAGCAUUAAAAAUUAACAGUAUUGAUGGAGACUUGGCGUGAAAACAUAAACAAGCCCCAAGCUUAGAACGAACGUUGAUCAAGGAACCACAAUCUCCUAAUAAACGUUAGAAUCAAUAGCAAAAAAGAACUUGAAGAUUUUUCCUACUUAAAGGAGCCAAAACACAGAAGAUAAACUGAUACUUAAGGGAUUCUCAAGGCUACAAGCACCUUUGCCUUUUUUAACUUCUCUGAGUCAAUGUCUUAUGUGGGGAAAGUAUUAAAAUGAUGAGGACCACAGAAACAUAUUUCCCUUGUUGCUCAAAUGAGACAAAAGAACAUACUAACUUCCUUAUAAGUUUCAAUGGAUAUUUUCAGAGAAAUACUAAAUAAACCGAAGAUAGGCACAAAAUGCUGGAGUAACAGUGGGACAGGCAGCAUCUCUGGAUAGAAGGAAUGGGUGACGUUUCGGGUCGAGACCCUUCUUCAGACUGAGAGUCAAGAGGAGGGAAACGAGAGAUGGACUUUGCAUUGCUGAAUACAUUGCUGACAUUCACCAUGUCAUCGAAAAAUACAUGAAAUUAAAGAUAUUAUGUGUUACCAUCCCUUGCAAGUCAAAGCCAAGAAUCAACACCCACAGAACCAAUCCCAGUCACAGUUAGCAAUUUGGGGGCGCAGAGGGAAGUGUAGAGAUACAAAAGAGAAGAACACAACUAUUCUUGAAAGUUCUUCAAUAACAAUUGCUCACGAUCAGAGGUUAAUGUCUUUCAAGGAAUCUAUAGGUCAGCAUAGUUGAUGAGGACAUGCAGGUCUUCCUCAGAACACUGAGAAAAUUCGGCAUUUUUCCAAUCACUCAACCCAAUUUGUAUAGAUGCACCACAGAAAGCAAUUCUAUUGGAAUGCAUCAUAACUAGGUUUGGUAACUGCUUUGCCCAAAGCCGCAGGAAGUUACAGAGGGUUUUGGACACAGCCUAGGCCAUCACACAGACAAGAUUGAUAAUCUGCAUUUUUUUUGUAGCUGUAACGCUAUUUUGUUACUUUCUCUUUUGCAAUGCCUGUAGGAGUCAUGUAUGGAAUGAUUUACCAGGAUACAGGCAAAACAAAGUGUUUCCACUCUACACCUGACAAUAAUAAAUCAAUCCCAAUACAAACCAAGUAUUCGUUGAAAUGAAUAAUUCUUUCCCAUUUUACAUACCCAAAACUCUAUUCAAAAUAUCCCCCAAGUGGUAAUUCUACUGAUUAGCACAAACUUGCGGGUUUGCUCCUGGUACGCAACAAGGUUCAGUUCAAUCAACGACACCGAUACAAUCAGGAGACAACAGACUGCAGUUGCUGGAAUCAUGAGCAAAAUAUAAAGUGCUGGGAGAACUCAGUGGGUUAGGCAGCGUCUGUGAUGGAAAUUGUGUGGCUGUGCAACACACGUCAAUAGUUAUAAUUUUGCCAAAUGUCUCCGAGUCUAAUGAAGGGUUCACACCCAAAACGUCACCUGUCCAUUUCACUCUACAGAUGUUGCCAGGCCUGCUGAGUUCCUCCAGCACUUUGUUUUUUUGCACACUAAAACCCAUGUCCCAUGGUACGAGUUCAUUCCAAGAGCUCUCCCGAGUUUGCCCUGAUUCGAACGUGGAUAUUUACGGUAAUGGCCGCUCGUCGGUACUCGGGGCUCUCGUGGACAUUUUUCAUCAUGUUGAAAAAUCUUCACGAGUCUUCCCGUGCUUACCCGCCGAUAGCGAGUCUUCCCGAGUACCUGCCUUUCGCGUUACGAGUCGCUAAGAGACGUCCCCGAGCUCUGACGUACCCGCUACAUUCAUUCUCCGUGCUUACCACAAGUUUGAUUUUUUUUAAACUCGGGAGAGCUCUUGGAAUGAACUCGUACCGUGGGACAGGGCUAUUAUACAAUCGCUACUUUAAUAAACACUGUCUACCCAGGCCAAAGC